rnacentral:sRNA from 1 species
AUGUCAGAUAUUCUAACUUAGGUAAGUGAAAGUUAAAAUCCUCUCAGAGCCAAGAAGACGCUUAUCUCCGGUUUCCAUGUGUUAAGCGGGUGAGAGUCAUUGACUCCCCUUGGAUGGGGCGCUAGUUUAUCGCAGAUCAGCCAUCAGCGUAAGCCAAUUGUGGCUAGAUGAACUGAGACAAUGUAGAUAUAGUGUAUUUUAACACAAGUGACUACAGUGGGGCUCGAACUUGCGACCUUUGGAUAUUUAUGCUAACACUUAUAAGCACUGAGACAAGUGACUUCACAUAUAUACUCUAACUUUAGAAAGCAUUAAAUUUCAUUAUACAUGUAAUUAUGUACUUUAUGAUAUCAUACCUUUUAUGUUAUGAAUAAUUUAAAGAAAAUAUUUUGUUUACCGUUUGAAUUAAAAUUUUCUCUAGAAAAACAUGCUAUAUUUUGAGCAAUGUACAUAGUACAUUAUUGUCAACAACACAAAUUUAUUUAAAGUGUUAAAAGUAUCGCUAUAAGGCUGUUACUUUUAGCUGCGUGUUUUUUUAAAUAAAAUAAGUUUUUAAAGACAUAUUAUGUACAUAACUGCAUUAUGAUUCUUUUUCUACUGUUGUUGUCAUUCAAUUAAUUAUUAUACUUGCAGUAUUUAUCACGAGAGAAGAAUAUAAUUCAAAUAAUUCUUUAUAUAACGACACCAAUAUUGCUUCUAUCACUGCAUUGAAUAAAACUUGCUAUUGUAUAUGUACAUGUAUAUAGAACAUGUAUAUUAUGUAUUAAAUACCAAUCAUUUUU